CUCUCAUGCCGUCCUUGAAUGGUGCAUCCUGGCAUUAAGUUGUCGGGGUGAGAGCCGUUCAUCGUUUACUGUGAGAAAAUUAGAGUGUUCAAAGCAGGCUUAUGCCGUUGAAUAUAUUAGCAUGGAAUAAUAAGAUAGGACUUUGGUACUAUUUUGUUGGUUUGAGAACCAAGGUAAUGAUCAAUAGGGACAGUUGGGGGUAUUCGUAUUCAGUUGUCAGAGGUGAAAUUCUUAGAUUUCCGGAAGACGAACUACUGCGAAAGCAUUUACCAAGGAUGUUUUCAUUAAUCAAGAACGAAAGUAUGGGGAUCGAAGAUGAUUAGAUACCAUCGUAGUCUAUACCAUAAACUAUGCCGACUCAGGAUGGGCGGGUGCAUUUUUGCCUCGUCUGCACUGUAUGAGAAAUCAAAGUCUUUGGGUUCCGGGGGGAGU
rnacentral:rRNA from 1 species